rnacentral:rRNA from 1 species
AGAGUUUGAUCCUGGCUCAGAGCGAACGCUGGCGGCAGGCCUAACACAUGCAAGUCGAGCGCCCCGCAAGGGGAGCGGCAGACGGGAGAGUAACACGUGGGAACGUGCCCUUCAGUUCGGAACAACCCAGGGAAACUUGGGCUGAUACCGGAUACGUCCGUAAGGAGAAAGAUUUAUCGCUGAAGGAUCGGCCCGCGUCUGAUUAGCUAGUUGGUGGGGUAAUGGCCCACCAAGGCGACGAUCAGUAGCUGGUCUGAGAGGAUGAUCAGCCUCACUGGGACUGAGACACGGCCCAGACUCCUACGGGAGGCAGCAGUGGGGAAUAUUGGACAAUGGGCGCAAGCCUGGUCCAGCCAUGCCGCGUGGAUGAUGAAGGCCCUAGGGUUGUAAAGUCCUUUCGGCGGGGAAGAUAAUGACGGUACCCGCAGAAGAAGCCCCGGCUAACUUCGUGCCAGCAGCCGCGGUAAUACGAAGGGGGCUAGCGUUGCUCGGAAUCACUGGGCGUAAAGCGCACGUAGGCGGCUUUCUAAGUCAGAGGUGAAAUCCUGGAGCUCAACUCCAGAACUGCCUUUGAUACUGGAGAGCUUGAGUCCGGGAGAGGUGAGUGGAACUGCGAGUGUAGAGGUGAAAUUCGUAGAUAUUCGCAAGAACACCAGUGGCGAAGGCGGCUCACUGGCCGGUACUGACGCUGAGGUGCGAAAGCGUGGGGAGCAAACAGGAUUAGAUACCCCGGUAGUCC